UCUCCUCCACUUCCGGUUCCUCGUUCGUUCUCCGCUCGCCCUCUCCGCCUCUUAUCUCUACGGCGUUCGCCAGCAGGACCGGGGACUUGGUUGGCAGGAAAACGACGGUGGGAAAGAAAAAUCCUAAUCACCUCUGCCCCACCUUCGCUUCCUCGCUCGCCCUCUCCGCCUCCGUCUCUACCGCGUUCGCCAGCAGGACGGGGGACCCGCCCAAGCAAAAUCCCUGGGGAUGGACCUACCAGUCUGGCCAGUGAGUCAAAGCCCG
rnacentral:lncRNA from 1 species